rnacentral:rRNA from 1 species
GAACGCUGGCGGCAGGCCUAACACAUGCAAGUCGAGCGGAAACGAUCCUAGCUUGCUAGGAGGCGUCGAGCGGCGGACGGGUGAGUAAUGCCUGGGAAUAUGCCUUAGUGUGGGGGAGUAACUAUUGGAAACGAUAGCUAAUACCGCAUAACGUCUUCGGACCAAAGAGGGGGACCGUUCGGGCCUCUCGCGCUAAGAUUAGCCCAGGUGGGAUUAGCUAGUUGGUGAGGUAAAGGCUCACCAAGGCAACGAUCCCUAGCUGGUCUGAGAGGAUGAUCAGCCACACUGGAACUGAGACACGGUCCAGACUCCUACGGGAGGCAGCAGUGGGGAAUAUUGCACAAUGGGGGAAACCCUGAUGCAGCCAUGCCGCGUGUAUGAAGAAGGCCUUCGGGUUGUAAAGUACUUUCAGUCGUGAGGAAGGCAUUGUAGUUAAUAGCUGCAGUGCUUGACGUUAGCGACAGAAGAAGCACCGGCUAACUCCGUG